ensembl:lncRNA
AUUACAAGCUGUAGAUUUAAAGUCUAAUUUCCUAGUGUCUUAGUCAGCUUUUUUAAAUGAAAGACUAAAAGGGGGCAUCCUCGUUGCCCCCUUUUCCAUUGCUUUAAUUGAAAUAAAAUGACAGUUUCAGCCACUAACCCUCUAGUGAUUAAACCUUUAGAUGAACCACUUCAUUGAAGCCCCUUCUUCCCAUUUCCCUGCUGACAAUCUGAAAGCUAAUGACUCUGGAGCAGCUACACCAAGCAAAUGAUCCAGCAGUGCCCCCAUGAGAGACUUCGUGGGAUUACAAUAUACUUACAUGAUAUUGAAACUAUGAAAAAGGUUUUGAUUGUUGUAGUAUCUUUUGCACAGGUGACUGUGUUAUGAAAAAUGCCUCAACUACAUGAAGAGUAGUGAGAAUUACUUCUGCAGGAAAAAUUGCAUCAAAGCAAUUGAGAGAAAAACUAAAUUAGUGUGUUUCCUUGGACACAGUCACUUUUUUAGUCCACAAAUUCUCUCUCUCACACACAAAUGACUUUUGGAAUUUUAAAAUGUUUAUUAAAAAAAUAGAAAAAUUGUAUUUAAAAAAAAAAAAAAAAAAAAAGUCAGUUGUUUACACAAUACAACCAGCCAUUAAAUGUACAGGAAGGAAUGAGCUGGGGGGAGAUUUGGUUCAUGUAACAACCUAGAUUAUCGUUUAAACAUAUUGCUAAAAAGCUGCACUGGGGGGAGGAGAAAAAAAAAAAAAAAAAAAAAAUAAAUAAAAACCUGACAGCAUCAUGUGUCCAUCAGUUUGGUACACGGCAUGUUACAAUAAUCUGACUUUCGAAACACGAGACUUUAAGUGAUUUUUACUCUUGCCUCAGCCAAAAGUCUUGUAACAAUAAAUCUCUGGUUUGCCAAGAACAAGUCGCUAUGUAAACUUUAGCUGUGAAACUGUCUUUGAAAUACUGACUUUAAAGAUGGCAGAGGAAAACCUCUGGAAAAAAUACAAGGCCCUCUUGCACAAAUCAACUAUUCUUAUCAAUUUAGGGGAAAAAAAAAAAAACAAAACCCACACACACCUCACGCACAUGCUGCUCAUGCUAACAAUCACUGACUGCGAUCGGAGUCUGCUCUCAGAGCUUACAUCUACAAGCUGUAUGGCAAAAAUAAACGUCCAACAGUUUUGUUGCCACUGACAAAACACAAAAGGCUCUGACUAUGUAACGGAGGAGGGUCAGAUUUGGUCAUUUAGAAAGGCAGUUACAUUGUUGCUUUAACAGAAUCAAAAAAGAUAUAAGGCAAGAAAACAAGCACUUUGCUGGUAAUAAAUAGCACCAACUUUUCUUGAACUAACAAGAUAUAACACUGCUAAAAAGGUGCAUUUCCCCAACACAGCCCAUCAAGAGGAAAUACUAAUGAAGAAAGCAAAAACAAACCCCCAAAUUAAGUGAUAUGUUUAAAAUGAGAACCAGUGGUGGGAGGAGCUAUAUUUGGACAGUUGGGAAAAUUUCAAGUGAUCAUAAAUCAAUGGUAAAUGACAAUAGUUAUGUGUUGGCAUCAUGGGAUUUUUGGCACAUUUCUCACAUUACACCAUAGCUCCCUCUUGUGUUGGAAAGCUGUAAACAGACAGUCCUAGGCCCUCAAAUCCUAUUGCACAGAUCAAUGUAGGCUAAUAUAAAAAGCAACCUUAUAGUGGCGAGAACUCCCUUAUUUAAAAAAAAAAAAAAAAAAGUGGAAUAAAUUAAAAACUGGUCAAUAUUGCACAGAAAUGCAACAGACAUAAUAUAAGGUGGCAAUGUUUACAGUACAGAACAAAACAGAGGUGCUAAUGUGUGUGGGAGGAGGAGACAUUAGUGAGGGGAAAAGUUUUUAAAACACAACAACCACCCAAUUAAAAAAAAAAAAAAAAAAAAAAAAAAAAAGGGAAGCAGACAACGGAUGAUGCCCAACACACACACAAAACACUUCGUACAUUCAAACAAGUCAUCACAGUUUGAGCACUUGCGAUAAGGUCCAUUUUUGUGCCGUCACACCAAAAACACUGUCAGCGUUGAGCUGCAUAGGUAGAAAGGUAGUGCUUCGAUCCAGAGUACAAGUUGUAGUAAUAGCCCUAGCUGUAGGGGCUCUUCAUGAAGAGUUCAGCUAAUAGGGUGUUGCAUUCACAAGAUCAAAUGAGCCCCCAAACCUGAUGAGAUGGGCCCCGACAAGAGUCAAAAGUUCAAGAGAUGCCAGGCUCGAUGAACCAGUUCAGUAAAAUGGCACACGAUGUUCAAA